UACGGAGGAUCCGAGCGUUAUCCGGAUUUAUUGGGUUUAAAGGGUGCGUAGGCGGCCUAUCAAGUCAGAGGUGAAAGACGGUAGCUCAACUAUCGCAGUGCCUUUGAAACUGGUGGGCUUGAAUGUACUUGAGGUGGGCGGAAUGUGACAAGUAGCGGUGAAAUGCUUAGAGAUGACAUAGAACACCAAUUGCGAAGGCAGCUGGCUACACAUAUAUUGACACUGAGGCACGAAAGCGUGGGGAUCAAACAGG
rnacentral:rRNA from 1 species